rnacentral:rRNA from 1 species
CCUACGGGUGGCAGCAGUGAGGAAUAUUGGUCAAUGGGCGGAAGCCUGAACCAGCCAAGUAGCGUGCGGGAUGAAGGCCCUACGGUUCGUAAACCGCUUUUUCACGGGAAUAACACCCUCCACUUGUUGAUGUCUGCAGGUACCGUCCGAAUAAGGGCCGGCUAAUUCCGUUCCAGCAGCCGCGGUAAUACGGAAGGCCCGUGCGUUAUCCGGAUUCAUUGGGCUUAAAGGGAGCGUAGGGGGGCGUUCAAGUCAGCUGUAAAAUCGCGGGGCUCAACCGCGCCCCGCAGUGGAAACUGGACGCCGUGAGUUCAGAACAGGAAGGCGGAAUUCGUGGUGUAGCGGUGAAAUGCAUAGAG